AAGGAGCGCAACCCCUAUUGUUAGUUSCCAGCCAGGUGAAGCUGGGCACUCUAACGAAACUACUGUGGUCAACACAGAGGAAGGUGGGGACGUACGUCAAGUCAUCAUGGCCCUUACGCCUAGGGCUACACACGUACUACAAUGGCGCACACAAAGGGUCUCCCAAACCGGCGAGGUCAAGCCAAUCCCAAAAAAUGCGUCUCAGUCCGGACUGCAGUCUGCAACUCGACUGCACGAAGUUGGAAUCGCUAGUAAUUCUGGAUCAGCAUGACCAGGGUGAAUACGUUCCCGGGCCUUGUACACACCGCCCGUCACACCACGAAAGGUUGGUUUUACCC
rnacentral:rRNA from 1 species